rnacentral:rRNA from 1 species
CUCUAUGGCCAUGCCACCUUGAACACGCUCAAUCCUGUCUGAUCUCGGAAGCUAAGCAGGGUCAGCCUUGGCUAGUACUUGGAUGGGAGACCGCCUAGAAAGACCGGGUGCUGUAGGUG